rnacentral:misc_RNA from 1 species
GAUGAAGAACGCAGCGAAAUGCGAUAAGUAAUGUGAAUUGCAGAAUUCAGUGAAUCAUCGAAUCUUUGAACGCACAUUGCGCCCCUUGGUAUUCCGAGGGGCAUGCCUGUUCGAGCGUCAUUAUAACCCCUCAAGCUCAGCUUGGUGUUGGGGCCUGCCGCACGGGCAGCCCUUAAAAUCAGUGGCGGUGCCAUCUGGCUCUAAGCGUAGUAAUUCUUCUCGCUAUAGAGUCCCGGUGGAUGCUUGCCAUUAACCCCCAAUUUUCUAUGGUUGACCUCGGAUCAGGUAGGGAUACCCGCUGAACUUAAGCAUAUCAAUAAGGGAGGA